GAUGAACGCUGGCGGCGUGCUUAACACAUGCAAGUCGAACGAUGAAGCCCAGCUUGCUGGGUGGAUUAGUGGCGAACGGGUGAGUAACACGUGAGUAACCUGCCCUUGACUCUGGGAUAAGCCCGGGAAACUGGGUCUAAUACCGGAUAGGAGCGCCUGUCGCAUGACGGGUGCUGGAAAGAUUUUUCGGUCAUGGAUGGACUCGCGGCCUAUCAGCUUGUUGGUGAGGUAAUGGCUCACCAAGGCGACGACGGGUAGCCGGCCUGAGAGGGUGACCGGCCACACUGGGACUGAGACACGGCCCAGACUCCUACGGGAGGCAGCAGUGGGGAAUAUUGCACAAUGGGCGGAAGCCUGAUGCAGCGACGCCGCGUGAGGGAUGACGGCCUUCGGGUUGUAAACCUCUUUCAGCAGGGAAGAAGCGA
rnacentral:rRNA from 1 species